CUUGCCCGUCGCCAGGGUCCUGCCGUCGUCGACGACCUCGAAGGUCGUGCGCAGGUGGUCGGGGACGGCGUCGAGGUUCCACGCGUCGCGCGGGA
rnacentral:tRNA from 2 species